GACCGUUGUUUACCUUGUGUGUUGCUGCAACCUUCGCAAGUCCACCUCCAUUUGUCGUGAAUCCCCGUUUCUGAGCGUUGAUUUUCCCUUCUUGGUGCCUUGUGGAUUUUUUCACGAGCCGCAAGGCAGGCCAUGGUUUCAUCGAACAGCCGGGAGUGGAGCGGGAUGCUGAAGGAUAGCGGCGCUCACUUCAGUGAGCCCAGCUUGAACCCCACCAUUGGCGUCCUGGGCACCACUCUGAAUAAGCUGCUUCAGUUGUGACUUGUAGCACAAAGUUUCUGUCGCCCAGUUCAUCGUCAUCUCUGAACCAAAGGCAUUGGUCCUGCCUGCUAGUCACCACUUGAAUAAAAGUUGGAAUGGUGCAGUGUGUUUGUGUAAAUAAACUGUUGAAGCUUUGA
rnacentral:lncRNA from 1 species